CGCCCCCGCAGGCAGCUCCAAGACCCAGAGGAGGCCUGUGGGCAGGUGGGGACCUCUCUAGGAGAAAGACAUCUCUUGGCAGAUGGAGAAUUUUCUUUCUGACCCUCCGUUGGAACCGAAAAUAAAGCAAGAUACAGGAUCAGGAUCAUAGUUUUACUUGACUGCUUUUUCCGUCAGUCUGGCUCCCGCCUGGUCUGUUGCUGUGGACGUCUGGAGAAUGUGAAUGAGCCGGCCGUGGCCACUGCUGAGCCCUCCAUCUCCCCAGGCUGAGAGGGAGGCUUUGCACGGAGCGGGCCAGGGAUGCAGGUUUGCUCUGGGUUUCUAGGUUUCCUGGCAACAGGAAAAUCUUUAAAAAUGCUAAACCCUGAAACCCAUGGUAGUGAAAAGGCCCUGUAGACGCCUGAGUCCUGGAAAAACUCCCAGAAUUCCUCUCAUCGGGCUGAUGGUGUUAAUACGAACCAGAGCAUCAGAGAGGUGGGCUGCAAGCCCCUCAGAGGGACCCAACUGAGCACCAGUUCCUGCCUCACUCUGGGAGUGAAAUCAGGAAGCGGCAGAGAAAGGAGAAGCCUGUUUCUUCCAGCAGGCAGCUUUCCCUCUGGACACUGGACGCUUGUGCACACACCCCAGCUGUGCUCCACGCUCCCUAACUCCUGUGGGACCCUCGGCCUCCGCUGCAGCUUUCAGCCUGAGAGGGAGGACGCCCCGGCCUCUGUGCAAGCACCCUGCUCUUGGACGGGCUUGCCUCCAGAGGGAGAGAACCUGGGAGAGAACCACUUUCCUCAAGUCCUAUCAAUCAGGACCCAGGAACACAGCAGGACCCGGGGUUGGAGAGCACCGCGGAACACAAGACAAGGACCUGGCCAGACUUACCCGUUCUCCACCGGCCUCCCGUCCCCUUUGCUGUCCUACCAGGAGGCAGGGAGGAGGGGCCCCAGCCAGAACGCCGGCCUUCCCCAGAGGGCCCCCAGGGACAUGCUGGGAAGAAAGAACCCGAUUCACUGACCAAUACUGGUUUCAUUUCUUAAAUUAUCCAAUUCUUGGCCAUCAAAUUGUAACAUUCUAGAGAGAGCCAGGAGAGCACACUUGGCGCCAAGGGCUGUGCUGAGCCUUCUUACUCAGGGACGGCCUCAGCGCUGGGUGGCCAAGGUCCUAGGCUUGUAGACAGGGACAGCCUCGUCCCAGAGAGCUGGCCGCCCCUUGAUGAUGUCGGCCGCCUUCUCUGCGAUCAUGAUGGUGGGGGCGUUGAGGUUGCCGCUGACCACGCUGGGCAUGAUGGAGGCGUCGACCACCCUGAGGUUUUCCACCCCGAGGACCCUGGUCUGCGGGUCCACCACUGCCAUGGGGUCGGAGGGCUGGCCCAUCUUGCAGGUGCACGAUGGGUGGUAGGCGCUGUCUGCCUUUGCCCGCACAAAGGCGUCUAUCUCCUUAUCCGACUGGACGUGGCUUCCUGGCUGGAGCUCCUUCCCCCGGAACGGUGCCAGAGCUUUCUGUGCAAAAAUUUCUCUGGUCAGCCUCACACACCGACGGAAGUCAUCGAUGUCCGUUUCUGUCGAGGAGAAGAAACAGGUUACAUGCCUCCUCUUACCAUGCUGGCCUCGCUGGAAGAUCCGCCACUGGGAGAGGCUCAAGAAGCUGCCCAAGGGGACACGGUUCAGGGACACAGAGGUCCAAGCCACCAGGUUGCCUGUCACCUACCCAUCAGCAGUUACAGUGCAACCGAGCAGAGUCCCACGAAGCCCAAACAGACAGCAUCCUAGACGGACACGGCUUGCCCCGGAGGCCCUACGUUUAAAUCGGAGAUCUGAAUUUUCUUAUCUAUAAGAUAGAGAUAAGACUACACGUCCUGCCUCUGCCACAGCACACUCCGGGCAGCUGGAGAGCAGGGCACCGCCUUCUGGGCCGCCCACCCUGGAGGCCCUGCUGCAGUGGGGAGACGACCUGCUCACCUGGACCUCCUGUUGUGAGACACCUCAGGCAAGAGGCUAUCAUCGUGCCUGGCCAAGGCGAGUGGUUUUGGUUAAUGGUUCCCUAACAACUCGAGAGCCCACUCUCGGGCCCUGGAAGGGGUCUCCCUUCCUGCAACAGCUGGCGACUCUGGUGGAAUCUCUUCUUUACCACGACUGACAUCCUGACUGCUCAGGCACCAGCUCACCUACCGACGGACCAGACACAGAGGCCACCACUGGGACCCUCUUGUCUCUGAUCUCCUCCUGACGCAGAUGACUGGCCAGAGUGCCCCGCCCAGGCAGUUAAGCUGAUGCUUUGCAAAACUGCUUCAUCUUCAAGAAGAUUCACAGAAAGGGCUUUAGACAAGUACAGGUUUCUGAUAACUUUUAAAUCAUACUACUAAACUAGGUAAGACUUUUUUUUUUGAGUAGCUAUUUUAUUUAUGUCUUUUAUUUAUUUAUUUGUUUAUUUAUUUAUUUAUUUAUUUUAUUUUAUUUUUGGCUGCACUGCGAGGCAUGUGGGAUCUUAGUUCCCCGACCAGGGAUGGAACCCUUGGCGUCUGAACCACUGGACCGCAGGGGAAAUCCCAGGUAAGAUAUUUUUAACAGUCUAAUGGAAACUGUUAACAAAAAGGAUUAGUUACAUAGGAUUGAGUAAACUGAUGAACGUGGUUAUAAUUUUUAUGGUUUCUGUCUGAAACAUUACUAGCUUUUAAUCUGUGUUUUCCAGAUAUAAAGAAACCCCCUCAAACUAAUUAUGACUUGUAGCAAUUUGGUAAAUUGUACCUUUGUAAGCAGAAUUGAAACACUUCUCUUUUCUUUCUACCUGAUCCCUCCAGAGAUUGCAAACUCUUAGGUUCCCAGCAGCUGUAUAAGAUAAAUUAGUAAAGCCACCUCCUAACAGGUGCAGGAAUCUCAAGUUAUUUUGCGGACCUCAAAAAGGGAGCGAUUCACCUAAAUCUAUAAGGCAAAAUCUGUGAAAGGCCCUUGGCGUGGCUUUCCUGGCCUUGGGAGGCCUUUUAUCAAACUUAAUUUGCAGACAAAUUAAUCUUGAUUUGGAGAUAUCUGAUAAAAAUGAGGGUAAUUUUAGGGAGAAAGAGACAUUUCAGUGGAUAUCAAAUUCUAAUUCUGUUUAUUGAGGUCUGUAUUCACUAAGACUCACUUCUCAGAUAGUUCCUUGCUGUGAUGCUAUAUUGUUGCAAAGUUUAAUUGAAUUAUUAAAAGGACACUCUAAAUUUGUUUCUGAAGCUUAACUCAGUAAUCUGUCUUUGGAUUAA